rnacentral:rRNA from 1 species
UACGUAGGUGACAAGCGUUGUCCGGAUUUACUGGGCGUAAAGAGCGCGCAGGCGGUCGAUCAAGUCGAGUGUGAAAGCCCCCGGCUCAACUGGGGAGGGUCAUUCGAUACUGAUCGACUCGAAGGCAGGAGAGGGUAGUGGAAUUCCCGGUGUAGUGGUGAAAUGCGUAGAUAUCUGGAGGAACACCGGUGGCGAAGGCGGCAUUCUGGACUGUAACUGACACUGAGGAACGAAAGCCAGGGGAGCAAACGGG